CUUGUGCAAAGGGCGUGUUGCAUUAAUUUGUUCAGCCAAUUUAGGGUGUGUGGCAUUAAUUUGUUUGGCCAAUUUGUUUAGAAUCUGGCAGGGCAUAGGCACCCAGUGCAAUGUCUGUGCAUAAUGCCUGUGUCAUCUCUACACCAGAUCUCAAGAGCAGAUUUACUGCGUGAUGCCGGCCACACCUUGAGCUGCUGCCCAGGGGAACAAAGGCAGGAACCGAAGCACCACGGAGGAAAAUUAAGCUGUGAACUGGAAUUCCAUCAGGCUGUCUACUGUAAAGCCCCAUGGCUUUAGAAAAAGGGCAGUAGUGGUCAGAAAUGACACUCAAAAGCAAAUAGCAUGUAAUUAAUAGAAUUCCAGUUCCUCUGAAAGAGAGAAGAUGCUUUUACUUCACACAACCAUCUAAGGAAGCCAUUGUGUCAGUCUACUUUAGCUCCUUCAAGGAGCCAUCUCCGUGCUGCCGAGUGGAUUAUCUCCCGGGGGAGCGGCCGGCUCCCCCCGCUCCCCCAUCCAUCACCCCGGGCGCUCGCUGCCCGCGCUGCGCCCCCGGCUCCGGGCUCCCCAGCCGCUCCGAGCGCUGCCUCACGGACUCUAGUACCUUUAAUGAGCAUGUCCUAUGCAUGGAGAAACCCAGCUGGAGAUGUGCUCCCUCAAUGGAUUGCAUAAUGGGAAGGAGCUGCUGUCAGCCUAGAGCAGAGGUUCCUGUUCCACCGUGGGUUCAGGAGGAGUGGGAGCACCUUGGUGAAAACCUCUGUACAGGGUUUGUACACUGCAUGUGUGUUUGUGGGAGAGCACAGCUGAUUUUCCAUAACAGGCAAGGGAGAAUGUCCCUGCC
rnacentral:lncRNA from 1 species